rnacentral:rRNA from 1 species
GACGAACGCUGGCGGCGUGCCUAAUACAUGCAAGUAGAACGCUGAAGAGAGGAGCUUGCUCUUCUUGGAUGAGUUGCGAACGGGUGAGUAACGCGUAGGUAACCUGCCUUGUAGCGGGGGAUAACUAUUGGAAACGAUAGCUAAUACCGCAUAACAAUAGGUGACACAUGUCAUUUAUUUGAAAGGGGCAAUUGCUCCACUACAAGAUGGACCUGCGUUGUAUUAGCUAGUAGGUGAGGUAACGGCUCACCUAGGCGACGAUACAUAGCCGACCUGAGAGGGUGAUCGGCCACACUGGGACGGGGACACGGCCCAGACUCCUUCGGGAGGCAGCAGUAGGGAAUCUUCGGCAAUGGGGGCAGCCCUUACCGAGCAACGCCGCGUGAGUGAAGAAGAUUUUCGGAUCGUAAAGCUCGGUUGUAAGUCAAGAACGAGUGUGAGAGUGGAAAGUUCACACUGUGACGGUAGCUUACCAGAAAGGGACGGCUAACUACGUG